rnacentral:rRNA from 1 species
GACGAACGCUGGCGGCGUGCCUAAUACAUGCAAGUAGAACGCUGAAGGAGGAGCUUGCUCUUCUGGAUGAGUUGCGAACGGGUGAGUAACGCGUAGGUAACCUGCCUGGUAGCGGGGGAUAACUAUUGGAAACGAUAGCUAAUACCGCAUAAAAUUGAUUAUUGCAUGAUAGUCAAUUAAAAGGUGCAAUUGCAUCACUACCAGAUGGACCUGCGUUGUAUUAGCUAGUUGGUGAGGUAACGGCUCACCAAAGCAACGAUACAUAGCCGACCUGAGAGGGGGAUCGGCCACACUGGGACUGAGACACGGCCCAGACUCCUACGGGAGGCAGCAGUAGGGAAUCUUCGGCAAUGGACGGAAGUCUGACCGAGCAACGCCGCGUGAGUGAAGAAGGUUUUCGGAUCGUAAAGCUCUGUUGUAAGAGAAGAACGAGUGUGAGAGUGGAAAGUUCACACUGUGACGGUAUCUUACCAGAAAGGGACGGCUAACUACGUG